UACGUAGGGGGCAAGCGUUGUCCGGAUUUAUUGGGCGUAAAGAGCGUGUAGGCGGCCAGACAGGUCCGUUGUGAAACUAGAGGCUUAACCUCUAGACGUCGAAUGGAAACCGUCUGGCUAGAGUCCGGAAGAGGAGAGUGGAAUUCCUGGAUGUAGCGGUGAAAUGCGCAGAUAUCAGGAAGAACACCCGUGGCGAAGGCGGCUCUCUGGGACGGUACUGACGCUGAGACGCGAAAGCGUGGGAGCGAACAGG
rnacentral:rRNA from 1 species